rnacentral:rRNA from 1 species
UUAGAGUUUGAUCAUGGCUCAGAUUGAACGCUGGCGGCAUGCCUUAUAUAUGCAAGUCGAACGUGAAAGGGGGCAACCCCGAGUAGAGUGGCGAACGGGUGAGUAAUGCAUCGGAACGUGCCCAGUAGUGGGGGACAACCUCGAGAAAUCGAGGCUAAUACCGCAUACGACCUACGGGUGAAAGCGGGGGACCGCAAGGCCUCGCGCUAUUGGAGCGGCCGAUGUCCGAUUAGCUUGUUGGUGGGGUAACGAGCUACCAAGGCGACGAUCGGUAGCUGGUCUGAGAGGACGACCAGCCACACUGGGACUGAGACACGAGCUAGACUCCUACGGGAGGCAGCAGUGGGGAAUUUUGGACAAUGGGGGAAACCCUGAUCCAGCCAUGCCGCGUGCGGGAAGAAGGCCUUCGGGUUGUAAACCGCUUUCGGCCGGAACGAAAUCGCCGGGGAUAAACAAAACGGUGGAUGACGGUACCGGAAGAAGAAGCACCGGCUAACUACGUGCCAGCAGCCGCGGUAAUACGUAGGGUGCGAGCGUUAAUCGGAAUUACUGGGCGUAAAGCGUGCGCAGGCGGUUCGCUAAGACAGAUGUGAAAUCCCCGGGCUUAACCUGGGAACUGCGUUUGUGACUGGCGGGCUGGAGUGCGGCAGAGGGAGGUGGAAUUCCACGUGUAGCAGUGAAAUGCGUAGAGAUGUGGAGGAACACCGAUGGCGAAGGCAGCCUCCUGGGCUAGCACUGACGCUCAUGCACGAAAGCGUGGGGAGCAAACAGGAUUAGAUACCCUGGUAGUCCACGCCCUGAACGAUGGCGACUAGUUGUUGGGGUAGAAGUACCUCAGUAACGCAGCUUAC